rnacentral:tRNA from 1 species
GGAGGGGUGUCCGAGCGGCUGAAGGAGACCGUCUUGAAAACGGUUGUGGGGAAACUCACCGUGGGUUCGAAUCCCACCCCCUCCGCCA